rnacentral:rRNA from 1 species
CAGUCGCCGCGGUAAUACAGAGGGUGCAAGCGUUAAUCGGAAUUACUGGGCGUAAAGCGCACGCAGGCGGUCUGUCAAGUCAGAUGUGAAAUCCCCGGGCUUAACCUGGGAACUGCAUUUGAAACUGGCAGGCUAGAGUCUUGUAGAGGGGGGUAGAAUUCCAGGUGUAGCGGUGAAAUGCGUAGAGAUCUGGAGGAAUACCGAUGGCGAAGGCAGCCAUCUGGCCUAAUACUGACGCUGAGGUACGAAAGCAUGGGGAGCAAACAGGAUUAGAUACCCCGGUAGUCCCUGUCUCUUAUAC